UGUAAGGUUAGAAAAUAUUACGAGGAAAUAUUCAAAGUAUCAUUGGAGAUUAAUUAAAUCCAUUCACAGAAUCAAAUUUUCUUUCAAUAUCCUGGCAAACGAAUUGCAAGAAAAAAGGAUAUCACGAUCGUAGGAAAAGAUGAGAAUAAGACCGAUUGGUGGGUUAGAAAUCGAUCGGAGUUGUCAUUGCACUCGCAAUGCUUUUCGCCUUGUAUCCGUUUCAUCGGAACGGUUCGGUAUCGUAAAACAUAAAAUGGUCUAUUCGAGUAGUUUCCUCGUGAUAAUCGAUUCGUCGUUAAAAGGCUUGAAGGAUUUUACUCCGUGGAACCGAUUUCGUUUUAUUCGUCCGCUAAAUGUCAAUCCAAUUACUUCAUAUUCAUAAAUGGUUGAAUCACUAUAUGAUACUAUCGAAUUAAAGUAUUGAAUUAAAACAGAGUUAG